rnacentral:rRNA from 1 species
CACGGGGGGAGCAAGCGUUGCUCGGAAUCACUGGGCGUAAAGCGCACGUAGGCGGAUUGCUAAGUCAGGGGUGAAAUCCUGGAGCUCAACUCCAGAACUGCCUUUGAUACUGGCGACCUUGAGUCCGGGAGAGGUGAGUGGAACUGCGAGUGUAGAGGUGAAAUUCGUAGAUAUUCGCAAGAACACCAGUGGCGAAGGCGGCUCACUGGCCCGGUACUGACGCUGAGGUGCGAAAGCGUGGGGAGCGAACAGG